GCUUGAGCAAGCUAUGGAGCUUGAGUAGCUCAUUGGAAUUGGUGUUGGUUUUGGAGUAGAGUAUUGUUGACAUUGGUGGUGAACAAAGGUCGAAUUGAAGCUUGAGGUAAGGAUGCUGCAGGAGCCUCUGGUGGCAAGUGGCCAUAUCUGGAUUAUGCAUGAAAUGUGGCAUUUCUUUUGAGUUUAUGCAUGCCUUUUGUAGUUGACAUGUAUAGGAUUUUAUUUUGAAAGCCCAUGGUCAUUUGUAUAUCUUGAUUCAUUGGAUGAACUUAGCCUAUGCUCAUGCCUUUGGUUACACCUUUUGUUGAUGGGAGCCAAGGGAAUGAUCAUAGUGUUUUGUAAGCUAAGUUCUAUGAUUUGUAAAGGAUAUGUAAUGUAAAU